UACGGAGGAUGCAAGCGUUAUCCGGAAUGAUUGGGCGUAAAGCGUCCGUAGGUGGUUUUGUAAGUCCGUGGUUGAAGCGCGAAGCUUAACUUCGUAAGGGCCAUGGAAACUACAAGACUCGAGUAAAGUAGGGGUAGAGGGAAUUCCUAGUGUAGCGGUGAAAUGCGUAGAUAUUAGGAGGAACACCGGUGGCGAAAGCGCCUUGCUAGGCCGUAACUGACACUGAGGGACGAAAGCUAGGGGAGCGAAAGGG
rnacentral:rRNA from 1 species